UACCGAUUGGACCCCGUUUUAUUAAUAUAAAGCUAUUAAAUACGUAUUUUCAUGUCAUAUACGAUCCAAAGGGGUACCAAUUAUUUGUAAAUAUAAAUAGACCUUUCUAGAGCUUAUUUUCACCGUAGAAAUCAUUUCACCAGUUUCUCUGCACGAAUACCGAGAGAAACCGAGCGGUGUUCUUCGUGUUCUUCAUAAUCAAACGAAGAUUUGAAGGUGUUAUUGGAGUCAGAAUCAAGCGUGCGAAUAGUCAAAUCGAAGAUAUCGAAGAGUAGAACCCAAAUCAAUCAUCAAAAACAACAUGAGAUUCACAGGUAGGGAGUAAUUGA
rnacentral:lncRNA from 1 species